UAGGAGUACCUCUCCAGUAAGGCUCCAACCUCCUCUUCUUGCUCUGAUUUUCUCUUUUAGCUAACCCUAAAUCACCAAUCUUUGCCCUAAAUUCAGCACCACUACCCUCGCUUGAAUUCGGCACGAGCAACACAUUAUCAGGUUUCAUAUCACAAUGAACAUAACCAAUCGUGUGAAUAAAACGCAACCCUCUAAGCAUAGAUCUUGUAUAAUCACUACCGUCGCUUGAAUUCGGCACGAGCAACACAUUAUCUGGUUUCAUAUCACAAUGAACAUAACCAAUUGUAUGAAUAAAAUGCAACCCUCUAAGCAUAGAUCUUGUAUAAUUCCUUACCUCAAAUUC
rnacentral:lncRNA from 1 species